CUUCAUGCUGGUUGUCAAGUCUCUGUGGGUUCCUGAUGGUUAUUAUCUACUCCUCUGACAUGGUUAAAGAUCCAGUUCUAUUUUUAGAGGUUUUCGGAGGUUUUUUGAGUGACAGAUGCAGCAUUCACAUCACAGAUGGGUGAAACACUUAUUUGAGAGGGAGGAGAAAGAGCAACGGAAUGACAUAUUUGAAGGAGUAGGUGACAGAAGAAAUAUCAAGAUGAAUGUCUGCCUUUUUGCUGUGAGCCAGUCUCUGCUGUAAGACUCCUCUAAGGGUUCAUUCAUGUAUGCAGCACUGUCUCUACCUUCUCACCUGGUAUUAAAUGCAUCCAAACUCCUGUUAGU